GCAACUGUGGCUGGGGUUUUAUCUGAGCUUGAUGAUGAAAGUAGAAGUAAUGCUUCUGAUGCUCCAUCAUCAGUUACUCAAGAGAGGAUGAUAAUUGUGGGGAAUCAACUCCCUCUUAGAGCUCAUAGGAGACAAGAUGGUGAGGAAGGAUGGAACUUUAGUUGGGAUGAGGAUUCCCUUCUUUUACAGCUCAAAGAUGGUCUUGGAGAAGAU
rnacentral:misc_RNA from 1 species